UGGGGAAUUUUCCGCAAUGGGCGCAAGCCUGAUCCAGCAACUCCGCGUGAGGGAUGAAGGCCCUCGGGUCGUAAACCUCUGUCAGAAGGGAAGAACUCCCUCGUUUCGAAUAGGGAUGAGGGCUGACGGUACCUUCAAAGGAAGCACCGGCUAACUCCGUGCCAGCAGCCGCGGUAAUACGGAGGGUGCAAGCGUUGUUCGGAAUUAUUGGGCGUAAAGCGGGUGUAGGCGGCUUUGCAAGUCAGAUGUGAAAUCCCUGGGCCCAACCCAGGAACUGCAUUUGAUACUGCAUCGCUAGAGUCCCGGAGAGGAUGGCGGAAUUCCAGGUGUAGAGGUGAAAUUCGUAGAUAUCUGGAGGAACACCAGUGGCGAAGGCGGCCAUCUGGACGGUGACUGACGCUCAGACCCGAAAGCGUGGGGAGCAAACAGGAUUAGAUACCCGCGUAGUCC
rnacentral:rRNA from 1 species